CUCUAUACGAUCUGGCCUGCAUGCAUGCACACACACACACACACACACACACACACACACACACACACACACAC